GGAUUCCCCUGGUAAAGUGGAUGGAAUACAUAUACAGAUUUUCCCAGGGUCUACAUUUAAGACAAAUUGAUCUGAUGGAAGACUGUGUUGCCAGAACUUCAACAACAUUGUCCAGAAUGAACAAAUUGCUCAGAAAGGUUUGCAUCAAGGCAUUGAAGAAUCUGAAAAGAAGAACAGGUCUUAGAGUUGGUGGGAAGUCAAGACAGAAGUUUGUGGCCAUAGAUGAGUCUAAGUUUGCUCACAAGAGAAAGGUACAUCUGAUGUAAAAAAUAAAAAAGAAUGGAAGUUUUUUACCAUGUUGAAAUACUAAAGUUGGUUUAGUUGCAUUCAAUAAUACUUCCAGGGUUAAUAUCACAUCAAAAUACCACAUGCAAUCAAAAGACAUGAUUGAAUGACGAUGUUCCAAAAGGUAA